ACCUACCUGAUAGCACGAGACUAAUUUUCUGCCAUUGGAGAAGGUUAUCUGUCCAAGGUCAUUAAAGAUGUGAAAAGAAAUUCUUCCUGGGCCAUCUGACUCAGCGAAUGGCAAGGAUUGGUUGUCACUUCCCCUCAACUUUCCCCUUUGUUUAUUUGGGCCCAGAUGCCACUUAUGCCAUGUAGAGAGAGAUAGCAGCAGGUGGUCUGAGGAAGACAGGGAAGUUGUCAGAAAUUUUGCCAAGUGCCUGAGAAUGGCCGAGAUUGCUGGGAGGAGAUGUUGUGACAAGUGUUUUUGGUACCUCCAACACAGACACCAUCAAAGGGAAACCCGUCACUGGCUCCUCUUUAGCAAGCAUCAUGUGGCUGGCAUGCAUGCGCAAGGAUGGCUGCCUGGCAUCUCCAAGCGUGUGCCGCUGAUCGGCAGAGUGUUUAAUUUAAGCAGAUGCCGUGGCGGUUAACAAUCCAUGUGUGCGUGCUUUGUGUGGCUCCCGCUUCAGCAGAGGGCCUCUCACAAGACACACUCCCUGUCUUUUAUCUGCCAUGGAAACAGAUGCCACCGACGUUUGAGAGGCAAAACUGACAACGGCUGCCCGUUUGCUUGUUGGAACACCAGGGGCUCCUCAAGAACCCAGAAGGCCCUUGAGAGUGGAGCAGUUUUCUGUUCACUGAGCAGAUUCAGUCCUCAAGGAAGAUUCUGCCUUGACCAAAAAUGAUGAUGGGCACAAUGGUUGCAUCUUUAUGUGAUCCUGUGAGCACUGACUACUCAUUUCUCACUUGGGCCCCAGCCAAGUUUUCUUUGCUGUCUGCUGAUUCCAGUUUAUACAGGGAAGAGAAGAGGAGCAGCCCUGAUACUUGUUGAGUGAGUGGAGGGCUCAACAUGCUCCUGGGUUCUUUGCUUGCAUGAGCCUGGGGUUUGGAGUGGAUCCAGUUUGAAAACUCCACAAACUAUAUGCAUAGAGUUCUCCAUGGCCUCUCUGACAAGACUGCAUCUUGAGAACAUCAAUGGAGUUCAGUGGCUCAGGUUGCCUGUCUAGUGUGGG
rnacentral:lncRNA from 1 species